UGUUGUCAUUGGACCGCCGAGUCAAGCGCGGUACAAGUUAUCGGCGAAUUGUCAUAGUCGGAACGGGUUGGUAUUUCCCGUCCGUACCGAUUUAAUUCUUUGUUAGUUUGCCCUACAACGUGUCUUGUGGUUUUGAAUAUUAUAGUUUUUUUUUCGCAAGUGACCUAUAGUUAUGUAAAUUGUUUAGUUUUUUUUGGUGUCGGCCGAACCAGCCUCCUGUUCUUAGCGUUUCGGGGCUAGUAAUGUAUAUAUUUAUUUGUGUUUUUAACCAGAGUUUGUUUUAGUGCGCUGUGCCUUAAGCACGUGUUGAGAAUUUUUUUUUUAACAUUUUAUAAAUACCUCUAUUUUUUUAUAUUCAUUAACAGGACAGGCGUGUUUAAAUGCCGCCUUCUCGUUUUAAUUAAUUUUUUUUAGCUUUGCUACAUACAAUAUAUUAUAUUGGGUGAUGUGCAUUCAUUAUUAUGGCAAUGUAGUGUACUUUAUUCCGAGGUGUCUCAACGUAUUGCAAGUCAAGUCUAAUCACUUAAAACCAGUCGCUUACUUGGAGCGUAUACUCACAGUGCUUUAGCUAUAAUGUCGUGCGUGACGGUCGAUGGGUACCCGAAGACGUUCAUCGUGUUCUCAAGUAAGGUUUGUCGACUGUUCGGUUUUUUCUUCGUAUUAACUUAAUUUUUUUUAUUUAAUAAAGUCCCCUUAAUAUAAUUUAACCACAAACUCUUUUUCUCGCGUUUUACGUCUUCAAUGGACACGUGUAUUUUGUAUUU